AACCCUUGUCCUUAGUUACCAGCACGGUUUAUGGUGGGCACUCUAAGGAGACUGCCGGUGACAAACCGGAGGAAGGUGGGGAUGACGUCAAGUCAUCAUGGCCCUUACGGCCUGGGCUACACACGUGCUACAAUGGUCGGUACAAAGGGUUGCCAAGCCGCGAGGUGGAGCUAAUCCCAUAAAACCGAUCGUAGUCCGGAUCGCAGUCUGCAACUCGACUGCGUGAAGUCGGAAUCGCUAGUAAUCGUGAAUCAGAAUGUCACGGUGAAUACGUUCCCGGGCCUU
rnacentral:rRNA from 1 species